UCGAACGCGAAAGUUCCUUCGGGGGGCGAGUAGAGUGGCGUCCGGGUGAGUAAAACCACGUAGGUAAUCUACCUUUGGGUGGGGAAUAACAAUCGGAAACGGUUGCUAAUACCGAUAAUGCAGCGGCACCGCAUGGUGACAGUUGUUAAAGCGGGGGAUCGCAAGACCUCGCGCCUAAAGAGGAGCCUGUGGGGAUUAGCUAGUUGGCAGGGUAACGGCCUUACCAAGGGCAACGAUCCGUAACCGGCCUGAGAGGGCGGUCGGCCACACUGACACUGAAAUACGGGUCAGACUCCUACGGGAGGCAGCAGUCGGGAAUUUUGGGCAAUGGGCGCAAGCCUGACCCAGCAACGCCGCGUGAAGGAUGAAAUCCCUCGGGAUGUAAACUUCGCAAGAAUGGGAAGAAUAAGUAGGGGAUAAUACCCCCUAUGAUGACGGUACCAUUUGUAAGCUGCGGCUAACUACGUGCCAGCAGCCGCGGUAAUACGUAGGCAGCAAGCGUUGUUCGGAGUUACUGGGCGUAAAGGGUGCGUAGGCGGCUAUUUAAGUUUGGUGUGAAAUCUCCCGGCUCAACUGGGAGGGUGCGCCGAAUACUGAGUGGCUAAGUGCGGGAAGGAAAGUGGAAUUCCUGGUGUACGGUGAAAAAU
rnacentral:rRNA from 1 species